GAACCCCACAAAUCCAAGAAGCUGACUUCAUGUUUGUUCUUUAUAUCAUACAAGUGAGAGGAUGUCCUGCUAUCCUUUGCGGCUUAAAAAUCACUUUCUUAGUGGAAUCAUGCUAUCUUGUUGCACUGAAAGAUCUAAUCAUCGACUUGCAAGGUAGCAGAUGGCCACACAAACAAAUUUCCAUGUGGAUUCAGUGCUGUGACAAAUCUGAUUUCUUCCUUUGUCUGGAGUUCAUGAAAUGCCUGUCAAAUUUGAUAAUAUGUAACAGUGGAGAUGAGGGCGUGGGACCAUGACUUAGGCACUCAAUCUUUCCAAAUUCAAUUAAUCACCUGAAACCUACCAUCGCAGGUUGAUGUUGACAGCAGUGGAGCAAUUGAUUCAGCUCUUGCUCCAACUGUGCACUUGACUGAGUUGCAGAAUUCACUGACAAAGAUGUUAUGGUUACAGAAUCGUUGUUUAUGUUCAACAAGCCUGCAAAUAAUUGGCUUAAUGAAAUCGUGAAAAAUUUGCUGCAUUGGUGACAAAGGUGAUGAAGUAAACCGAAGGAGAACAAUGAGAAGCAAAACUAAUCCGAGAGAUGCUUCAUGACUCGCUGCAAAUACAUAUCAAAAUCUGUUUGAUAAAACAGCAACAGGCAGCUCUUAGGCUUGUAGCAGAAGAAGAGCAAAUCCUCCCGCAAAACACAGCCUCCUGAUCGAGUAAGUAGACAUAAAGAGCUAGAAGCAGAACAUAGGAAAAUAACUACUGUGAUCAUGCCGUGGGUUAGCAGAAACAAAAACGAGACCUCAGUCCGAUUAAGAUUAUGACUACAACAACGAGAAUCCCUUUCGCCUGAAGGGCAUCAGCACUGGAUGGAUAGCAUCAUGUUUAAAGAGAUCCAUGCUUAUGUUUGAAAACAGAGAAGAAGAAGAUUAUUGGGGCCAUGCUGGACUGCAUUUAUUAGGGAGUUAGCUAUAUAAUGAUAUAUUUUCUGUAAACCUGGAAAAGAUUAGAGUUUUUGAUGUGAGAAACUGGAGGAGAUAGUAGGAAAUAGAUCAGAUGAAGAAGGGGUCAUGAGUGAAGAAAGCAUCAGCAGCAGCACUGAAUUCAAACUCUCAAAGUUAAGAAGUAUGAGAUUGUAUGAAUUAGCAGAACAGAAAAGCAUUUGUAGUUCAAAAUUGAUUUGCGAUUCUAUCGAAGCAUUUUGGAUAAGAAAAUGUCAGAAGCUGAAGAGGAUGCCAUUUUGUCUUCCGUUGCUUGAAAAUGCCCAGCCAUCUCCUCCCCCUUCUCUUAAGAUAUCGAUAUAUAUCCUAAAGAAUGGUGGGGGUCAGUAGUGGAGUGGGAGCAUCCUAACACUAAGGCUAUCCUUCUUCCCUUUGUAAAGUCUAUUUGGUAGGAUAGUCU